rnacentral:rRNA from 1 species
UACGUAGGGUGCAAGCGUUGUCCGGAAUUAUUGGGCGUAAAGAGCUCGUAGGCGGCUUGGUAUGUCGGGUGUGAAAUCCCCGGGCUCAACCUGGGAACUGCAUCCGAAACUGCCUUGCUAGAGUAUGGGAGAGGGAAGUGGAAUUUCCGGUGUAGCGGUGAAAUGCGUAGAUAUCGGAAGGAACAUCAGUGGCGAAGGCGACUUCCUGGACCAAUACUGACGCUCAGGUGCGAAAGCGUGGGGAGCAAACAGG